GACGAACGCUGGCGGCGUGCUUAACACAUGCAAGUCGAACGAUGAUGCCCAGCUUGCUGGGUGGAUUAGUGGCGAACGGGUGAGUAACACGUGAGUAACCUGCCCCUGACUCUGGGAUAAGCGUUGGAAACGACGUCUAAUACUGGAUAUGACUGCCGGCCGCAUGGUCUGGUGGUGGAAAGAUUUUUUGGUUGGGGAUGGACUCGCGGCCUAUCAGCUUGUUGGUGAGGUAAUGGCUCACCAAGGCGACGACGGGUAGCCGGCCGGAGAGGGUGACCGGCCACACUGGGACUGAGACACGGCCCAGACUCCUACGGGAGGCAGCAGUGGGGAAUAUUGCACAAUGGGCGAAAGCCUGAUGCAGCAACGCCGCGUGAGGGAUGACGGCCUUCGGGCUGUAAACCUCUUUUAGUAGGGAAGAAGCGAAAGUGACGGUACCUGCAGAAUAAGCACCGGCUAACUACGUGCCAGCAGCCGCCGUAA
rnacentral:rRNA from 1 species